GCAGGGCUGCCCGGUGCGUGAGGACGCAUAUCCCCGGGGCCUUACGAUCCUCAAGGGAGCCGUCGCUGUCUGGAACCGUGGUUCCGUUCAUAUGGCGCCCACCUGAACACUCAGGUUUCCCGGGAUUGGCAACAUCCCACGGCCAGGGUGGCUCUGCG
rnacentral:other from 1 species